UGUGGUUUUUUGUGUGUUUUGGUUUUUUUUUUAAAUAAUCACUUAGCAAAACUUACAUAAAACUCUCAUAGUCAGGUUUAUCGUGUGUUUGGCAAAAUGGUUUAUUGUAUUACUAGACUUUAGGCCAAGUGAAAGGUGAGUUGCCUAACUGUUUUCUUUUCUCCAUUCUAGGUAAGACCUCUACUUUCCAAUUUAAAGGCAAAAAACUGAUAGCCUGGGAUAAUGUCUUUAAUCAUGAGACAUAAAAUAUAAUUCUGUAGGCUGAAAAAAGUUCAAGAGGGAUUCUGCCCAGUUGAACAGAGUUAGGAUUAAGAUUAUUGAUGAUGAGAGGCAGCUCAAUGGCAGUAGAUGUCUCAAGAGGAUAAAUAAAUAUCCAGGUCAACUAUUUUCUAAAAAAUAGACUGAAUGUGUCAGCACUAACAAGUUUGACUGAAAACUUGCUUCAAUUUGCUUUGCAAAGCCCAUCAGUUUCUAUGAGAAGCACAAAUGCUCUCAACUCUUGCUGGUGGCCUCAGACACACAGAAAAUUGAUGAGUUCUUCAUAACUGUACUUUUAAUACUAACACUAUCUCAAAUCACACAUCCUGCUGCACAGAGUGGAAGACAAUACUUUUUACUUCCUUUAGAGUUAUUGUACUUUCUGCAUAUCUACUGUAUGUAAGAACUUUCCAGUUUUUCACUGGAAUUUAUUCAAUAAUACAGCAUUUAAGGAUGUACCUGCAAACCCUUGCAGUAACAGGAUGGUCCAACAUGCCUGGUAGACAGUCCCAUGGGACUCUGUCACAUGUAAAACUUGCUUUUAGAAAGAGCAGCAUGUAGCAAGUAUAUCCUUACUUUAUUCUAGGUUAGAGCUAAUAAGCUGUGCAAAGUAAUUUGACAGUUUUUGCUGAACUGUUCCAUGGUUUUUGUUUUGGUUUAUUGGGGUUUGGUUUAUUAGUCUAUUCCUGUAUUUGUUCUGUAGGAUGGUAAAGUGGGAUGGGUCCUCUCUGGAAUAUUGGUCCUUGCAGAACCAGGCUUAGUUGAAGGAUCUCACACAGUUUCUUUAGUAUCUAGAUCAUCUCCUCUACAGAGGGCUACACAUGGGAGAGAGCACUGGUACAGCUUUCUUUCUAAAUGCCAGGGAUAAAUACGAUUUUUCUGUAAAUCAAUAUAUACAGGGUAUACACCCCAUGUAACCUGGAACUUCUGCCCCUCCAUAAUAUUGCUGCUGCACACCUGGGGUUUCAUACCAUGUUACACUCCUCGGAUAAACUCCCUUCAAAACAAACCAUGUUCUGAAUUAAUGAAAAAAGAUGCAUUAAGAAAUUUCUGUAAACAUAUAUGAAGCCAAAAAUAUCUGAACAGCUUCUGUGUUUACUUGCAAAAAAAUCUCACCAUAUGGUUACUGAUCCUUUGUGCAGAAUGACAGGCCUUUUAAUCAGGUGACAUUUACUGGUUGCAGUGUAAAGUGUUGUUUUAUUUCUGGUUGUAUUUAAUGGAAAUUUCCCAUUCUAAUUUUCUUCAGUAAGAAUUCUCUUCAGGAAGAACCAGGUAGUUUGCUGUUUUCUGUUACUCUGAAGUUAGAUUGCCAAGGUUGUGUUGUAUGAACUAAAAAGCACUUGGCAAGAAAAUAACAGAGAUGCUACUUAACAUAAUUUAGGUAUUUUAAAGGAAGGAUUUGAAUGUGACUAUGUGGCACCAUUAAAGCUGAAAAAUAAUUCUCAAAAUAGACCUGACUUGGUCAAUUUAGUCAUUGUUUUAAUUGGCACAUCUGCUAGAUGUAAUCUGUGAUAUUCCAGUCAUUUAGGUAGGUGUGAUGGGGCCUGUGAGCUGCAAGUUGUUGUGCUGGGAUUCCAAAUUUCCCAGAAAAAGCAACACAGGAAGGGAAAACAGGGAGUUGGGCUUGUUGCUUUAGACUGAACCAGAGCUUCAUAAGCAUGAAAGUUAAGACAGGGUUUGUUCACUGGUAAAACUGAGGGAUGUUGAAUGAAUGUAUUACUGAAAAUCAGACUGAUAGCUAUUUUUCACAAGUUACUCUAAAGCAUGUGCUUUUCCUAGCAGAGUUUAAACCUAUUUUUUUGCUCAUCACAUUAAAGCUCAUGUUAUUCUACCUAAAAGAGGAAAAAAAAAAAGUACUUUUACCAGCUUGCCUAACCAUGGAUGAUAGGAAAAGGUCUUAAAAGGUUAGUGAGUGUAUCCAGUCUCAUAUCACAUAUACUAUAUAGAUCAUUGCAUUCACUAGUCUAUUAAUUUUCUACUUGGACUUCAAUCAGUGACCUCAAAUAUUUACAUGUUCGCUCUGCCUUUGAGGCAGAAAGUCUAAUCUUCACUGUUGCUUUGAUACAUUUAAAUAGAAGAAUUAUGGUGUGGUAUAUGAGACAUAGAUAAUCUCCACUCUAAACAGAACACUUGAUCUUCCCAUGCAUUUCUCUGGAAUAUUGGAGUAAAUUUUCAGUGACUGUUACUACACCAAACUUAAUCCUAAAGAAAAUUGCUUGAAUUUUACAAGUCAUUUUUUCCUCUGUGUGAUCAAUUCUGUACAGAUGUUGAUGCAGUGAGGAAGUGUUCGUAGGAAAAAGGGAAUAAUUAAUCCCAUACAGUAAUUAAUGUAUCUUCAAUAUUGCCAAUUGCUUGGAAAUACUGGAUGAUGUUAUUGGGUCUAGAUUUUCUACUUUAUAGUUGUAAAAAAGAUAUAGGUAUAUAUAAUAUAGAGGUAACUGAUAAAUGCCUUCUCAAAUCUAAAGCAGUAUGAUAAAUUUCACAACUCUUUCAAACAGGUUUGCUGUUAGUAAAACAGACUCUAUAGCAUACCCCUUGUUGUUCAAACCCUUCAUCAAUUAAUUUUAACUAUUUAAAUUGAAAUAUUUCUCAGUGAAGUACAUUGCUCUUCUUCAAAGGCACUUACUUCCUAAUAUAUUUGAUGACUGCUGUGAAAAUACAGUGCAUUUAACUGCUAUCAUGUGUAUGAAGUAUUAUAUAGAGCAGGGGGAUAUAUUUAAAAGGUGUUGUCUGUCAGCUAUUUAGAUCCCUAUUUACAGGUAGAUAGGCCUACCAGACACACCUAAAAUGUGAAUUUCUUUCUUCAAUACUAACCAAAACUAAUUGCUAUGUACAAUUUUAAUUUAAGUGGUGUUAAAAUAGGGAUCAGCCAAACCAUUUUUCAAGGAAAAAAAAGUUAUUUUUUUUCCUCUUCCUACACUCAGAAUCUGUUGACAAGCCACCCAAGCCUUGGUCUUAGAGCCACUUGCUUGUAACCAAUGCAUAAAUACUAUGAAACAUCCUCUGACAGUGGAAUUAGACACAUCAUUCAACAGUUAAACCGUGAUGUAGACAAUAAACUGUUGUGUCUCAUUCCAUUACCAAGAUGUCUGAGUGAGUGUUCAGGUUUUAGAUAAUCAUAAGUGCUGGAUUUUUAUAUUGCUGCAACAAAUUUUUUUAUUCUGCAGCUGUGAUGAAUCAAAUGAUGCAGCCUCAUCUGUAUGUCCAGACUGGGUUUUAGAAGCUAGUGGUUUAUGCAAUCAUUUUCUGUUUUGUUUAAUCUAGAUUGGCUACAUGGAUGUAGAAGAGCCCAGGUUCUGAGCACAGCCCUUUAAAGGUGCAAUAGUUAAAUUUUCAGGAUGUAGAAAUACACAAUACCAUUAAUUAAAGUAUUAAAACAAAGGCAACUAAACCUGGCAAAAGGAAAUGCAGUUUUGUACAGAGAAUGUAACUGCAAUAGAGAAAACAGACAUACAGCAUUCAAAUCAGAAAUGGAAGGUAUGGAUUUAUAACUAUCACUAAUAUCUCUCCAUAUAUAUAUAAAAUUUUAUCAGAGAUUUAUAACAGACUGUGAAUAACAAGAUUAAGAAAAUAAUACCUUGAAAAGAAAUAAAUUCAAGCCUUCACUGAAAUAUCAAGAAACUCUUCAGGAUAUGAUAGCUGAAAAUGCAUUCUUCCUUCAGAAAAUGGGGAUAAAACUAAGAAAAUGGAAGGAAGUUUUAUAGUAGAAUACAUUAGCCAGACUAGAAAGAUUGUCAGACAUUUUUCAGAAACUAAACAUGAAUUUUUACUUCAUCAGCAGUGGCCAGGAAAUUUUCCUGAUGUACUAGAAAACCAUCUGCAGAAACGAAUAUUUUAGGUAUACAAUAUGAUUUUUAAAAUUAAUUGUUGAACCCUAUUCCCAGGGAUGUGUGUGUGGGUGUGGUACAGUGGGAAGUAGAUUAAAAAGAGAAUCCUUUAUCCAUACAUAGCCCUGAUAAUUAUGGCUAAAUGCAGGAUUUACAGCUGAACAUAUUGUUUGGUUUUGUUUUGGCAGCAAAUCCAGAUGAUGGUGUAUUAUGUUGAUCUUCUGAUAGCUAGGAUUACCUAGCAUGCUGAGAUGAUCAUUCAGACAAAUCAAUUCUCAAUCUUAUCGAAAAGAGCACCUCAGGGGUCAAAAAAGUAAUCCUCUUUCUGGUCCUACAGUGAACUGCUCGCUCAGAACAGAGCUCAUUUCUCUGAAACAGCAAGCACUGACCACUGCCUGAGGCAGUCUUCUAGAUGAGCUGAGGAAUGCAGAACCCAAGAAGUGACUGGUGCAGUAAUGCAAAGAGGGGACCGGGAACAGAGCUCGGAUCUCCCAAAACUCAGCCGCUUCAUUUGAAAUGAUAACAAGUCUGAGCUGGCUGAAGUGAGAAUUCAAAACACUGGACAACCUUGCAAUGUUGGUAACUUGACUGCUGUGUUUUUCUAAUGGAGGAAUCACAUCAAAAGCACAUACACUCUACAAAUUCAACUGGAGCAGCAUGAUAGCAAACAGCAAGGUACUGUUUUGUGUUGCACUUGGCCAGAAAACUUUUCUUGAAAGCUACAGACAAUCCAUGGCUCGUUUCACCCACCCUGAGAAAGAAACAGACUCUGCACUGAGAGAACAUAAUACUAUGCUAGGAUGAAGAAGGACACCCAUUUGGUAAAACAGAAUUAACUAUUGACACUACUGAGUAACAUUCUUCUAGUCUGAAACCUAAAGCUAUUAAACAUGAAACCAUGGUAAAGUCU